CCGCGCUAAGCGGGGAGCUGGCGAUGCCCUGUACCUGCGAUCGCCUAGCAGGGCCUAGAUCCCCGCCCGAGGCGGCCCGGGUUCGGUUGAAACCGGUGACUGCGGCGUUGAUGGCCCGGUCCCGGGCAAUGGGGCCCCGUGAACCGUGUCAGGGCCGGGAGGCAGCAGCACUAAGCGGGUAACCUCAUGUGCUACGGGGUAGCCGGGCCGGAGCUGGCGGCCGGGAGUUCGCCGGGUUCGAGUCCGUCGACGGCGGGGUGCGCGG
rnacentral:SRP_RNA from 1 species